rnacentral:rRNA from 1 species
CAGUCGCCACGGUAAUACGGAGGAUCCAAGCGUUAUCCGGAUUUAUUGGGUUUAAAGGGUGCGUAGGUGGCCUGUUAAGUCAGGGGUGAAAGACGGUAGCUCAACUAUCGCAGUGCCCCUGAUACUGAUGGGCUUGAAUGAACUAGAGGUAGGCGGAAUGUGACAAGUAGCGGUGAAAUGCAUAGAUAUGUCACAGAACACCAAUUGCGAAGGCAGCUUACUAUGGUUUUAUUGACACUGAGGCACGAAAGCGUGGGGAUCAAACAGGAUUAGAUACCCCGGUAGUCCCUGUCUCUUAUAC